GAGUAUGAAGGACAAGAAGGAGAAGAAGAUAACAGAUGGAGAAUGAGGAGGAGGAAGAGGAUGAAGGACGAGAGGGAGAGGAAGAACAUAAUAGAUGGAGAACGUGGAGGUGGAAGAGGAUGAAGGAGGAGAGGGAGAGGAAGAACAUAACAGAUGGAGAAUGAGGAGGUGGAAGAGGAUGAAGGAGCAGAGUUAGAGGAAGAACAUAACAGAUGGAGAAUGAGGAGAAGGAAGAGGAUGAAGGAGGAGAGGGAGAAGAUAACAGAUGGAGAAUGAAGAGACGGAAGAGGAUGAGGGAGGAGAGAGAGAGGAAACACAUAACAGAUGGAGAAUGAGGAGAAGGAAGAGGAUGAAGGAGGAGAGUGAGAGGAAGAACACAACAGAUGGAGAAUGAGGAGGUGGAAGAGGAUGAAGGACGAGAGGGAGAAGAAGAACAUAACAGAUGGAGAAUGAGGAAGUGGAAGAGGAUGAAGGACGAGAGGGAGAGGAAGAACAUAACAGAUGGAGAAUGAGGAGGUGGAAGAGGAUGAAGGACGAGAGGGAGAGGGAGAACAUAACAGAUGGUGAAUGAGGAGAAGGAAGAUGAAGGAGGAGAGUGAGAGGAAGAGCAUAACAGAUGGAGAAGGAAGAGAAGGAAGAGGAUGAAGGAGGAGAGGGAGAACAUAACAGAUGGAGAAGGAGGAGGUGGAAGAGGGUGAAGGAGGAGAGGGAGAGGGAGAAGAUAACAGAUGGAGAAGGAAGAGAAGGAAGAGGAUGAAGGAGGAGAGGGAGAACAUAACAGAUGGAGAACGAGGAGGUGGAAGAGGGUGAAGGAGGAGAGGGAGAGGGAUAACAGAUGGAGAAGGAAGAGAAGGAAGAGGAUGAAGGAGGAGAGGGAGAACAUAACAGAUGGAGAAGGAGGAGGUGGAAGAGGGUGAAGGAGGAGAGGGAGAGGGAGAAGAUAACAGAUGGAGAAGGAAGAGAAGGAAGAGGAUGAAGGAGGAGAGGGAGAACAUAACAGAUGGAGAAC